rnacentral:rRNA from 1 species
UACGAAGGGGGCUAGCGUUGCUCGGAAUCACUGGGCGUAAAGGGUGCGUAGGCGGGUCUUUAAGUCAGGGGUGAAAUCCUGGAGCUCAACUCCAGAACUGCCUUUGAUACUGAAGAUCUUGAGUUCGGGAGAGGUGAGUGGAACUGCGAGUGUAGAGGUGAAAUUCGUAGAUAUUCGCAAGAACACCAGUGGCGAAGGCGGCUCACUGGCCCGAUACUGACGCUGAGGCACGAAGCGUGGGA